UUGAAGUAGUGCUUUAAAUCAAAUGUACUAAAAUCCAAAUGAUAAAGAGAAGAUAAGCAUAGCCUCCGCACCAAGAUAAAAUGCAUGAAGCGUUCCAUAUCUUU